ensembl:lncRNA
GAUAAGCUCUCCCUCGAAUGUCUAACAGAGCUUCUGUAGAAGUUGAGCGCUCCUUGGAGGGACAGGGAGUCGAGUCUGGGGGCAAGAACUAGGAAGGUCUUAAACCCUACUCUGUGCUGGAAUCCUGAAGAGCCUGCGUUCAUCCAAACCUUAGAACUCUCCAGAGACGCUGCCAUCCAUACCUCAGAACUAGAAGGCAGUGGCGAUCCUCAACGCCGACUACACGUUACUGCCUGCUACUUCCGGCUCCUGCGUCGCUCCGGAAGCCCGCGAGUUCCGGAAGCCUUGGUAAUCCGGAUUCGGCUAGGAAAAGACAAGCAUUCCAGAGAAUGUUUCAGAGAAAGUUACGUGGAGCGUGGGCGUUUCGCAGACUCCUAAGCUUCUGGCAAGUAUGAGGCAAGGAUUUCACAGAAGAACUUGCAGCAGAAAUUCCGAUUGCCAUAGCUAUAGGCUGUCCAGUCUUGAGGGAGUUGCAGGAACGGGAAAAAGGUGAGAUCUCUCCAGAAGAUGGUUGGCAUUUAUGGUGAGAAACAUUCCUGUUACAUAUCUGGGUUGAGAGAAAAAUAGAACCAAACAGCCUAAUCAGUGGUCAUUUUUGUUUCCUGGACUUAAACUUGUUAAACAUGUAGUCUUCUGCCACUAAGUCUUCUAGGAUGCGUGGGUAAAUUUAGAACUUCGCUCUUGAAAACAUUUUCUCUUGUCAAAGAUACUCCCAAUUUCAAGAAAUAUAAGUUUAUUUUUACCUUCUAAUAAUUUGCAUGUAUCAUCUUUUUAAUAAAAAUCAUAAUAGAAUAGAUUUGAAAGGAAUUUGAAGGUCAUUUUGUCUCUAGCCAUUUGUUUUAUAAGUGAAAAAACCAAGGCAUAGGUCAAGGUCAGAGGAAAUGACUUAUCAAAGAAUACAUGACCAGACCAUGGCAGUGAGCUCUGGCAGGAUCCAGUCUCCCUCUGUAACUGUUCUUUCUGUUAGCAUAUUGACCUUUUAAAGGCCUAAACAUGAUAAACAAGCCCAGAGUGGUGCUAACCCAUUUUAAUUUUUUUGUGUUUCUUUUCCCCCAGCUUUAUUAAAGUAUAAUUGACAAAUAAUGGUAUAUAUUCAAAGUGUGCAAUGUAAUGAUUUCGUAUCUGUAUAUAUUGUGAAGUGACUGCUACAAUCAAGUUUAUUACCAAAUCAAUCACCAGCCAUAGUUAUUUACCAUCUGUGUGUAUGUGUGUGAUGAGGACACUUCAGAUUUUCUAUUGGCAAAUUUCAAAGAAAUAAUAGAGCAUUAUUAACUACACUAUUGUAGACAUGAGUUCCCCAGAACAUAGUCAUCUUAUAACUGAAAAUUUGUAUCCUUUGGCUAACAUCGCCCAUUUCCCUCACCCCUCCACUCCCUACCAACCACCAUUUUGCUCUCUGUCUUUGUGAGUUUAACUUUUUUAGAUUCUGCAUAUAAGUGUGAUCUCACUUAUAAGUAUGAUCUCACUUAUAUGUAGAAUCUAAAAGAGUUAAACUCAUAGAAGUGAGUAAAUUUAAGUCUGAUUUUUUUUUUUUCCUUUGAUCAUGGGUGGAUUUUCCAGUUAGUUAAUAAUAUUUAAAAUAUCCAAACUGAUCUGUAUCCUGGACUAUAGCAGUAACUGGGUGUUUAAAUUACAUCAGCUUGCACAUAAUAGGUAUUUAUAAUAAUAUGUGUGUAUUGAAGCAGUAAGCUGUACCUAGGUAACCAUUAAUCAGCUUUUUGUAUUUCAGUUAAAUUUUUUCCCUUUAGCACCAAUUUGUUUCCUUAAUGUAUUUAUGAAAUUAUUGUGGUAUAUAUUUUAUAUCACAUAAAAAUGCAUGAUGUAUACAUUUUUAGUACCUGAAUAAUGAUUUUUCUGCAUUCUUCUUGCUUCGUGCUAAGAUUUAGUACUAUUUAUUUUCUGUAGUAGUGUGUUAGAAUAAUAAACACGUAUCAUUCAUUAUUUUUCUAACUUCCUUUACACAUAUAAAAUUUAUUUGAGAAAGAUUAAAUGGCUUACUUAAAAAUAAUACCUUUGAAAUCAGUAAAAGUGCUGGAAAAUAAACUGAGGUCUUGACUUAACCAUCUAUUUGCAAUGUUCUAUGUAGCUGUACUUACUACAUUCCUAUAUCUCUUCAUUAGUCAUAUUAUUCAGCCUCCUUUCUGUUAGCUUCAGGAUUUGAAUAUCUCCCUGCUAGAAUAUCUGACCAAGGAGUAUUGCUUAGAAGUAUAUUUGUGGAAAUAGAGUACAGGUUUUGUUUUGUUCUGUUGUUUUAUUAUCAUUUCUUUGAUGAAGAGGGCCAAGAAAAAAGAAAAAUAAAUUAAGAAGAAAAAAAGGCAGGGGGAGAAAAGAAAGGCUCUGAGAGACAAGACGGAAAGAAGUUUCAGGUAAGAAGUGAUGAUUCCCUGUACUAUUUUAGACUACUGAAAGGCUCAUCUCCUAUGUGUCCUAUGUAAUUUGUGUAUUACAGUUUCCAGGCAUAAUUUAUGGAGAUCGUACAAGAUUUUAACUCUUUGCUAAUGUUCUUGGAUUGUAUUUUUUCC